CACCCAUCAAGCCUGGCUUGGAAUUGGACCCCGGGGGCGACCCGGGUCCCAAAGUCGUCGGCUGGAAAGCUCGGAUCUCCGCGUCGUGGAAUCCAUUCGCAGACGAGACGAGCGACCCCGUGCCGGUCAAAAUUUUCAUUCAAGG
rnacentral:misc_RNA from 1 species